GACCCGUAAGGUCUAAACCUGUGUCAAAGUUCAAAGGCCACAGGUUUUCAUCUUGGGGUACA
rnacentral:pre_miRNA from 1 species